UAUUGUUGGACUUAUAAUGUAUCACGGACAUACAUAUUUACCUUGAUAAUUAUCUAGAUAAUAAAAAUAAAUAAAAGUAAGUUAAAAUAGAUAAAUAUGAUAAUAUCUUAUAGAAAGCUUCUUAGAAGCUUCAUAGAUGUUGUUUUACUUUUAUAAAUAUCUAUAGGUGAUUGAUAUGUUAAAAACUUGGCCAAUAAAGAGAUCACGUGUCGACAUGUCGACCACUUGUAGUAUAAGUUGGAUAUAUGGCACACACCUAAGAAACUUGCCUUGCAAAUUAGACAUAUCUCUUACAAGUUAGAUGCGUAUUAGAGGCCUUAUAGCAUAUCACCACAUAGUUCUUAGUUAAGUAGUAUAUAUAGAGGCACAAGUGAGGCCUUUCUCACUCUUGCCAACUCCUUUCUUGCUUUUAAUUUAGUUUUAAGAGUCUUAUAUUUUCUAGUCUUUGGCAAUAGCCAUUCAAGUUUUUCUUUGAAUAUAUAUACUUUCUUCUAUUUUCUCACUUUUUUUUUGACACAAAUUCUACAAGCUUAUGUAUCUUCUUCCAAUUUGUAUUCUUGACAGAUUGACAAGAGUACACACAUAAUAUCAAAGCUUUGUCUUUUCUUGAUUAGGAGUGGAUUACCUCUUUCUCUUGAUAAGACAUAAGCGUAUUAGAAGUUGUGGAUUACCUUCUUCUAAAUUAAUAUUAUUUUUAGAAGUUUUUAUUUUUGAUUCUUUAAUAUUAUAUUCAAAGUAAAUAGAUAUUUUAUUUUUAAUUUUUUAAUUUUUAAUUUUUUUUAUUAUGCUAAUAUGGUAGAGCUUGCUGAAAUGAAGAAUGCAAAGGCUCAAAUGCAAGAGCAAAUGAGAGAUUUAAUGCUUAUAAUACAUGAACUCAAUCUACCACCACAAAAAACAACAAGAUUAUCAGGCAAUGAAGAUAUAGAAAUGAUUCAAGUUGCUUCAAUAUCUACUUCAAGCCAUACUACUACUCCUACAAUGAAACAUUGUUCAAGUUUUAAGAAACCAAAAAUUGGAUUGCUUGAAAAGUUUAAUGGUACAAGAUCUAAGUUUUGCGGAUUCAUCAAUUAGGUACAUCUAGUGAUUGAACUACAAUCACAAAGUUAUUCAAUUUAAGGAUCACAAGUCACGUUGUUUGAAACACUACUUUUAGGUUCUACUUUAUCAUAAUUUUUAUCAUUUCUUGAAUGACAUGAUCUCAUAUUGGAUAAUUUGGAAGCAUUCUUAGCAGAGUUUUGAUCUAUGUAUAGAGAAUAUGAUGCAAUCUAUAUUGCAACCAACAAGAUUUAUAUCUUGUGAUAAGACAAUCAAUCAAUGAUAUUAUAUGCUUCACAAUUUUGUUAAUAAGUGACAAAUAUCAAGUGGAAUGAUUCAUCAUUCAUCAGCCAAUUUUUCUAUGGAUUACAAUAUGACGUAAAGAAAUUGAUAUUCAAUUUACCUGAUCUUCAAACAUUAAGUCAAGAAAUUGAAAUUAUUGUGAAAUGUGAUAAUUGACUUUUUGAGUUUUGAUCUAAGAAUUAUACUAGGAAACCUCAACGUUAUUACAAUUCAAUGACAACACCGACAACUUUUCAAUCUAAACAUUUGAAAGUAGAAGACAUAUAAAUUGAUGCAGUAUGUUUUAAACCUCUUAUAAAACAAGAUAAGUCUUAUCGUUGUCAAAAAAGACUAUAUUUAUAUUGUAGAGAAGCUAAGCAUACUGCUUAAUAUUAUCCAAAGAAACAAUGUAACUAUAAAAUGAGGAGUACUAUUGUCAAAGAUGAAAACAUGUUGAAAAACAAAUUUAUCCAACUACAAUAGGGACCAUGCAGUUGAAAUCUUAUACAAUUCCUAAUGGAGGUCCUAUUCUCUCCUCAAAACCCUCUCCUUAUUGAACAAUAGAUGUGUAUUUAGGAUCUCAUAAUGACAAAGCCUCUGUCUUAAUAGAUUCAAGAGCCUCAGCUUGUUUUUUAGAUAAAGAAUUUAUUAAAAGUUAUAAUAUGCAGUUAGUAUGAAAAAUUAAAUUCAUACACGUAAAAGUCAUAGAUAGUCAUUUUUUAUCUUUUGGAGAUAUUAUUCAUGAAACACUUCUUAAAGAUGUAGUAAUAAAUAGUCAUAAUAGUUGCAUAAUUUUUAAUAUAAUUAGAUCUCCGUCUAAUCCAAUCAUUUUAGGUUUAUCAUAGCUAAAAAAAUAUAAUCUUGUAAUAGAUUGGAUUUUUCAUAAACUUGAAUUUUUUUCAAACAUCAUUAAGAGUUUUUCUAAUCUAGUAGAAAGUCAUGAGUAUAGUGUAGUCAAAUAUGUACUUGUAGGUAGAAAAGCUUUUUUACAUACUGUUAAAGAAGAACCAUCUUUUGUUAUUUAUGCCACACCUAUUUUAAAUGAUGGAAAGAUUUUAAGUAAAAUUUCAAGUAACUAUCAAGAUUUUUAAGAUUUUUUUGAAAAAAAGAAUGCAGAUAUUUUCUUGGAGCAUCAUCUAUAUGAUUGUUCAAUCGAUCUUAAAGAAAGAAUUCACCCUCGAUUUGGUCCAAUCUAUAAUUUAUCACAAAAUGAGUUGAUUAAAUUCAAGAAGUACAUUGAUGAGAAUUUGACUCAGAAUUUCAUAUGCCAUUCAAAAUCUCCUGCAUGAGUUCCUAUCUUAUUUGUGAAGAAAAAAGAUGGAUCAUUGCGAAUGUGUGUAGAUUAUUGAGGACUCAAUAAGAUUACUAUCAAAAAUAGAUAUCCUCUGCCUUUGAUAUCUAGACUUUUUGAUGAAUUAAAUCAAAGUAAGAUCUAUAUAGAAAUAGAUCUACAAGGAGUAUACAAUCUGGUCCUCAUUAAAGAAAGAGAUGAAUGGAAGAUUACAUUUCAAAUAAGGUAUGGACACUUUGAAUAUAAUGUCAUGCCUUUUGGACUCAUGAAUAUACCAACUACUUUUCAAUAUCUUAUAAAUGAUGUUUUUUGUGAGUUUCAAGAUGAUUUUAUUGUCUAUUAUAUAGUCGAUAUUUUAAUCUACUCUAAGAAUGUAGAAAAACAUGAAGUUUAUGAUCGUCGUGUAUUACAAAAACUUAGAGAUGUAAGAUUAUACACCAAGAUAAAAAAAGUGUGUAUUAUAUACUACUCAAAUGGACUUCUUAAGAUACAUCAUUUCAAACAAUGGUCUAAUGAUGGAUCCUAAAAAAAUUCAUAUAAUCAUCGAUUGGAAGAUUCUAAAAAUAAUAAAAUAUAUACAAUACUUUUUAGGAUUUGUUAAUUACUAUCGGAUCUUUAUCAAGAACUUUUCUCAAGUUAUAGUACCACUUACAUGCUUAAUUUGUAAAGACAAGCUUGCGUAGAAUAAAGAAGUAAAAGCAUCAUUUGAAGCUUUGAAAAAAACUUUUACUUCUGUACCAAUCCUACAUUACAUCAACUUUUUCAAAGAAUUUUUUAUGGAAACAAAUACAUAUGACUUUGCCUUAGGUGCAGUCUUAACAUAAAUAGGAGCGGUCAUAAACUUCAUCUACUAGCUUUUCAUUCAAAUUUUUUUUCAACAGUCGAGAUUAAUUAUGAAAUCUAUGAUAAGAAACUUCUUGUAAUUAUAGAUUCUUUUUAAGAAUAGCAUCAUUAUUUAGAAGGUACUUCAAGUUUAAUCUCUAUGUAUAUAGAUCAUAAGAACCUCAAGUAUUUCAUGUUAGCACGUAUUUUGAAUCGUUGCUAGGCUCAUUGGAACAUGUCUUUGUUAAGUUUUGAGUUUAAUAUCACUUAUCGGCUAAAAAAACAAUAAGGUUUGUUUGAUGCCCUUUCUAGACGUUCUUAUCUUACACCAAAAGAAAAAAAAGCAGUUUUUGACUAACAAAAGAUAAUUUUAUUGAAGCUAGAAUAAUUUCAUGUCCACACAAUGAAAUCAACAUUGACGAUUGAUUUGACUUUUCUCAAGUAAAUCCAAGCAAAUAUGUCUUGAGACCUUCUUAUUCAUGAUAUUAAAAAUAAUUCUUCUAAGUCUCAAGAUAUUUUGAAGUUUGAAUUUAAGGAGAACCUACUCUAUUUCAAAAGACAUUUAUAUGUUCUAGAAAGAGAAGUACGAUUAUGUGCUCUUGAAACUCAUCACAAUUUUCAUGUAGUAUGAUAUUUUGGAUAUAAUAAGACUUUGGAGCUUAUAUCUAGAGAUUUUUGGUGGACUCAAAUGUAGAAGGCUGUUAAAGAAUUUGUGCAGAUAUGUAAUAUUUUUUUAAGAUCAAAAACUCCUUGUCAUCAACCUUAUGGACUCUUCCAACCAUUACCUAUACCAGAACAACCAUGGUCUUCUGUCUCUAUGGAUUUUAUCAUGGAUCUUCUAAUUUCAAGUUCAUAUGAUUCCAUAUUCAUGAUUGUAGAUCAUUUCACCAAGAUGGUACAUUUUGUACUAUGUACAAAAUUUAUCAUAGGUGAAAGAACAACAAAAUUCUUCUUUGAUAAUAUCUAUCGCUAUCAUGGAUUAUCAAGGGAUAUUAUAUCAGAUAGAGGAAUAUAAUUUUUAUCAAGAUCUUGAAAAAUCCUUAUCAAUAUAUUGAAGGUGGAUACAAAACUAUCUUUUACUUUCUACCCUCAAAUUAAUGAACAAACAAAAUAGAUAAAUCAAGUUUUAGAGUAGUAUUUGAGGUGUACCAUCAAAUAUCAAUAAGAUGACUAGACAACUCUUUUGCCAUUGGCAAAGUUUGCUUAUAAUAAUUUGGUACAUUCUUCUACUCAAUAAACACCUUUCUUUGCCAAUUAUGGAUAUUAUCCAUAAUUUGAUACUUUUGACCUUUCAAAAGUUGAUAAUCAUAUGGCAGAAGAUAUCGCAAAUCAAUUGUCAAAGCUACAUGUAACAAUGAAUGCACAAUUAAAAGAAGCUCAAGAAUGCCAAAAAACCAAUGCAAAUGUCUAUUGCUAGGAACAACCUCAAUUCUAUAUAGGAGAUCAUGUAUAAUUACUUCAUUAUAAUAUUAAUAUUAUUUGUCUUUAUGUCAAGCUGGAUUAUCAUAGGCUUAGACCAUUUUUUAUUUAUAAACAAAUCAAUCCAGUUACUUAUCGAUUAUACUUAUCGGAGUCUAUAAAAAUCUAUUAUGUAUUCCAUGUGUCUUUUUUUGAGCCAUAUAAUACAAUGGAUAUACAAGGAAAAAGACAAAUCCCACCAUCUCCUAUAGAAGUGCAUAAUAAUGAAGAAUUUAUGGUAGAAGAAGUCUUAGAUUCAAGGCACUGCCAAAUUAGGUUAGAAUAUCUCGUACAUUGGCAUAGAUAUGAUAUUAAUAAAUAUCCUUAGAAGCUAUCUAAGAAUCUAGUAAAUACAUUUAUUAGGGUUUAAGAUUAUUUGUUUAAAAAAAUGACUAAUAUUAGUAUAAAAAUAUUGAUCUUUUUGAAGAUAUUUCAAUUCUUGUGUAAAGAGGUUGUUGGUGAUCUUGUCUUAGUCAAUUAAUUCUACAUUCUUUACUAAGAAAUACACAUCUAUAAUGAUAUUUGAAAUGAUGUUAAUUUGCUUACAAAAAUAUUAAGAAAAGCUUGCUACAAAUACAAAUAUAUUCUUUGCUAUUCCAUUUGAUAUUUAUUGUAUGCAUAUUGUAUUUGCCAACUAUAUGAAUUUUGUUGCUAAAAAUAUUGUUAUGAUUUGAAUAUGGCUGCUUAUAUUUGGAUCUAUAGCUGGUGACCUCCAAGAAGUGAAAUUUAAAGAUUAUCUUGAGAUAAUUGAUGUUCUACAAGAUCUUCCUACUCUUGACUGAAUUUAGAUACUAGUUAUUUGAGGAUGUGUGUCAUACCAUGCUUUGAAAAAACUUUUAAUACUUCUUGUUUAAGAAAAAUAAAAACUAAUGAUAGUAAUUUAUUAAACUUAUAUUAUUACCUAUUUAUUGUUUUACAUAUCAAUCUGUACUUGGAUCUUGGAUGUAACAAAGAAUUGUGCAUAGAAGUGGAAUGCUAUUGAUAUAAAAGAAGAAAAUAAUAGAAAUAAGGAUAAAAAAAAAAAAAAAAAAAAAAAAACAAUGAGACAAGAAGGUGUGAAUAUAAGAUGGUAAAAUAAGUGUGUUCUAAGAUGGCAUAUUGUUGUUGUAAGGUGUUUGUAUAAGAAACCACAUUGAUAUAAAGGUUAUCAAAUACCAUCAUAUUUAUUACUAUUUUUAUCAUUAAUAAGAUAUGUUCUUUAAUAAUUAUAUUAUAUUUAAAUAAUGAAGUAGUAAUGUAAAUGACCAUAAUUUUAAAAGAAUAUAAUAGAUACAAUUCAAAAUUAUAAUAAUGUGAUGAUUUUGAAUUGUCAUUAUUUUUGAAGAUGUAAUUGAUAUCUUUUAAGAAAAUAGCCUAUAAGCACAUAAGAGUCAAACUUACAAGUUUGUAUUGUAAAAGCAUAUUGAAUUUGGUGCUUUAAAUGUUUGAAUCUUUGAGGCAACAAAUGGCCAUGUGUCAAGGACAAAGACUCGAUGAGGGAAAAUAUACACCAAAAGGCUAUCUCGAUAUAAUAAGUCAAAAUAUAAACAAGUAGGUAUAUUAAAAGGAAACUGGAAUGGCUAUUGCCACAAGACAAGAAACUAAAGACUCUUGAAUCUAGACUAGAAGCAAGAAAGGAGUUGACAAGAGUGAAGAAGCCUUCACUCUUGUCUCUAUAUAUACUAUCUAACUAGGGGCUACGUGGCGACGUUCUAUAGGACCUCCAAUAUGUGUUGACUUUGUAGGACACAUGCCUUGACUUACAAGGCAAGUUUUCCUACAUGUGGGCCACAUAGUUAGCUUGAUCUUCAAGCUAACAACAUGUGUGGCACAUGGCCAACUUGUUGACCACGUUUCUAAUCCAAAAAGUCAAUUAAAGACACCUAUGAAGUCAAAGCAGCGUCUAGGAAGUUUCUAGGAAGCUUCUAUAUUAAAUAUUAUACAAUUAACUUACUUUUAUCUACUUUUACUUACUUCUACCUAUUUCUAUAUGUAAUUAUUAGCUUACAUGAUUAUGGCCGUGACAUUACCCCCCCUUCUAGAGACGAGUUCCACGAGGAGCGGUCAUCAUAUGUUGAGGAAAUCUAUGAUGCGACGAAUUAUAUUCGCCACAUACUCUGAUCUCUGUUCUCUUCGAAGAUGAUUGAUAGGGCCUCUCAACCAUCGGUAGUGUCCCAUACCAGGGCGGGAAGAUCACCCAGUUAUUUGAUCAUUAUUGAGGCCUUCAUAACUUCCUUCGAAUAGAAUAUUCGGAACACCAUCAGGAGUUGUUCCUACCUCUAGCAAAAUCACCAAACAUCGGGAGUCCCUUCCCAAAUCGUGAUACCAAACGCGUUGUAUCUCACCAUCUGUUCGAGGAAGAACAUGUCGUUCUUGAAGAUCUUCAUCUCGAUUGCGUCGUCUUGAAGGUUGUGACAAUCGUAAUGUCUCGUCCGACAGGUCAGCAAACGAAGGUUCUUGAGUUGAAUCCGCUGGUUGUUGGCUCUCCAUCUAAUUAGCGUCACAAAUGUAAAGAAGUUACAAACAAGGAUAGGAAAUUGAAUGUUAUCUUGCCUCAAUCUUGUCUCUUUUAUAAGAGAGAUUUUCAUCUUAGUUUUGAUGGAUGUCGUUGAUGAAAAACUUUGACUUUAGCUGAUGCAUUUGCUAGAUUCCUGGAUGGCUCCCAUGUGCGUUCACUAAUAUCAUAUCCGCGCCAAUGAACAAGAUAUUCCAGCUUAUUUCGGCGCCGCCUUGAGUCUAAUAUCUCUUCCAUCUCAAAUUCUUCAUUAUUAUCUACUUCUAUAGGAGGCGGUGGCAUUUGUCUUCUUCCUUGUAUAUCCACUGUCUUAUAUGGUUCAAGAAGAGAUACGUGGAAUACAGGAUGGAUCUUCAUUGACUCCGGUAGAUGUAACCGAUAUGCAACUGGGUUGAUCUGUUCAGAAACAGAAAAGGGGCCAAGCCUACGAUAGUCCAACUUGUCACAAGGUCGAGUAGUCUUGAUAUUGCGACGAAGUAGCCAUACCUUAUUACCCACGUUGAUUUGUGGUUGCUCCUUACGAUAUACAUCUGCGUUUAUCUUUUGUCGUUCUUGAGCUUCCUUCAAUUGUGUCUUCAUUAUUGCAUGUAACUCUGACAACCGAUUUGCCAUAUCUUCUGCUGCAGGAUUAUCAACUUUUGAAAAAUCAAAAGUAUCAAGUCGUGGAUGAUAGCCAUAAUUGGCAAAGAAAGGUGUUUGUUGCGUGGAAGAAUGUACCGUAUUAUUAUAAGCAAACUCUGCCAAUGGCAGAAGGGUUGUCCAAUCAUCUUGUUGGUAGUUGAUAGUACACCUUAAAUAUUGCUCCAAGACUUGGUUUACGUGCUCUGUUUGUCCAUCAGUUUGAGGAUGGAAAGCCGAAGAUAGCUUUAUGUCCACUUUUAAAAUCUUGAAAAGGGUCCUCCAAAAUCUUGACACAAAUUGAGUUCCCCUAUCCGAUAUGAUAUCUUUAGGUAAUCCAUGAUAGCGAUAGAUAUUAUCAAUGAAAAGCUUAGCUGUUUCUUCACCUGUGAUAGAUUUUGUACAUGGCACAAAAUGUGCCAUCUUGGUGAAACGAUCUACUAUCACAAAUAUAGAAUCAUAAGAUCUUGAGCUUGGAAGAUCUGUGAUGAAAUCCAUAGAAACAGAAGACCAUGGUUGUUCUGGUAUAGGUAAUGGCUGAAGAAGUCCGUAAGGUCGAUGACGAGGAAUUUUUGAUCUUGAACAAAUAUCACAUGAUUGUACAAAGUCUUUGACUGACUUCCACAUUUGUGGCCACCAAAAAUCUCUUGAUAUGAGUUCCAAAGUCUUAUUAUAUCCAAAGUGCCUUGCUGCUGGAAAGUCAUGACGUGCUUGAAGAACACGUAAACGUGCUUCUCCUUUUGGAACAUAUAGGCGUCCUUCAAAAUAUAAUAGAUUAUUCUUGAACUCAAACUUAGAAGGAUCAUGAGACUUGGAAGAAUUAUUCUCGAUAUCAUGAACAAGAGGGUCUGAGGACAUACUGGACUGGAUUUGCUUGAGAAAAGUUGAAUCAACAGUCAAUGUUGAUUUCAUUGCUCGGAGAUGAAAUUGCUCCGGUUUCAAGAGGACCGUUCUUUGUUGCUCAAAAGCUGCAUCUCCUUCUUUUGGUGCAAAAUAAGAACGUCUAGAUAGGGCAUCGGAUAAACCUUGUUGUUUUCCUGGCCGAUAAGUGAUAAUGAAGUCGAAUCUUGACAAAGACAUACUCCAACGAGCUUGACGACGAUUCAACACGCGUGCUGACAUGAAAUACUUGAGGUUCUUGUGAUCUGUAUACACAGUGACUGGACUAGAAGCGCCUUCUAGAUAAUGACGCCAUUCUUGAAAGGAAUCCACGAUCGCAAGAAGUUCUUUAUCGUGGAUCUCAUAAUUGAUCUCGGCUGCUGAGAAUUUUCUUGAAUGAAAAGCUAUCAGAUGGAGUUUGUCAUCUGUUCCCAUUUGUGAUAAAACUGCACCCAAGGCAAAAUCUGAUGCAUCUGUUUCCAUAAAAAAUGCCUUGGAAAAGUCAACAUGAUAUAAGACUGGUGCAGAGACAAACGAUGUCUUCAAGGCUUCAAAUGCUGCUUCCGCUUCUUGAUUCCAUUGAAAUUUAUCUUUACUAGUCAAGCGUGUAAGUGGAGCUGCAACUCGUGAGAAAUCUUUGAUGAAGAUUCGAUAGUAAUUGACAAAUCCCAAGAAACAUUGGACAUCUCUUACCGUCCUUGGAAUCUUCCAAUCCACGAUUGUUUGGACUUUCUUAGAAUCCAUCAUGAGACCAUCAUUUGAAAUGAUGUAUCCUAAAAAGUCAACUUGAGUAGUGUGAAAUACACACUUUUCCAUCUUGGCGCACAAUCCUGCAUCUCUAAGUUUUUGUAAUACUUGACGAACAUGUAUUUCAUGUUCUUCGACGUUCUUGGAAUAGAUCAGGAUAUCGUCUAGAUAGCAGACGACAAAAUUGUCUAAGAAUUCACGAAAUACAUCAUUCAUGAGAUGUUGAAAAGCAGCUGGUGCAUUCGUGAGUCCAAAGGGCAUGACAUUAUAUUCGAAAUGUCCAUACCUGGUUCGAAACGCAGUCUUCCAUUCAUCUCCUUCUUUGAUCCGUACUAGAUUAUAUGCUCCUCUUAGAUCUAUUUUUGUAUAGAUCUUAGCUUGAUUCAACUGGUCAAGGAGUCCUAAUAUCAAAGGUAAUGGAUACCUGUUCUUGAUUGUGAUCUUGUUGAGUCCUCGAUAAUCAACACACAUUCGUAAAGAUCCAUCUUUUUUCUUUACGAAUAGAAUUGGAGCUCCUGCUGGAGAUUUUGAAUGGCGUAUGAAAUUCUUCGCUAAAUUCUCGUCAAUACAUGUCUUGAGUUCAGCCAUCUCAUCUUGCGAUAAACUGUAAAUUGGUCCAAAUGGUGGCUGAGUUCCUUCCUUGAGGUCGAUUGAACAAUCAUAUGGACGAUGCUCAGGAAGAAUAUCUGCAUUCUUUUUCUCAAAAACGUCUUGAUACUCCUGAUAUUGACUUGGAAUGCCACUUGAAGUCUUUACGUUUUCAGAAAUAAGUGCAGCAUAAAUAGCAAAAGUUGAUCCUUCUUUUGCUGCGUGUAUAAAUGCUUUUGCACCUAUCAGUACGGGUUUUACUGUACUAGACUUAUAAUUUUUUACUUGGUUUGUAGAACUAUUAAUAACGCUUUUGGAAAAGUCAAGUUUACGCGAAUUCCAAUCUAUUCGAGGGUUAUAUUUUUCUAGCCAGGAUAAACCUAAAAUAACUGGAUUGGACGGGGAUUUAAUUAUGUUAAAAGCUAUGUAGCUAUCAUGACCGUCUAUUGUUACUUUUAUAGGAUGAGUUUCAUGAGUGACAUCUCCAGAAGACAAGGGACGACCAUCUAUGACUUCUACAUGUACUGGUUUAGGUUUCUGUACAAAGGGUAUUUUACGACUUUUAACAAAUUGUUCAUCUAAAAAACAUGCUGAGGCUCCCGAAUCUAAUAAAGCAGAGGCUUUGUAAUUCUUAGGUCCUAAAUAUAAGUCUAUUAUAAAACAAGGAGAGGGUUCUGAGGAGAGGAUAGGACCUUCAUUAGGAAUUGUACAAGGUUCCAGCUGCACGGUCCCUAUUGUAGCUGGACGAAUCCGUUUUCCGACAUGUUGUCUUCUUUGACCGUCGUACCCCUCAUUUUAUAGUUGCGUCGUUUCUUUGGACAAUGUUGAGCAGUGUGCUUAGGUUCUCCGCAAUAUAAACAUAAUCCUUCUUGACGACGACGAAUCUUUUCUUGCUCAGUUAGAGGUUUAAAACGUACCGCAUCAAUUUACAUGUCUUCUACUUCCGAAUGUACGUUUGGCAAAGAUGUUGAUGUUGCCAUUGAGUAAUAACGUUGAGGUUCUCGUGAAUGAUUCUCAGAUCGAAAUUCAAAAAGUCGAUUAUCACAUUUUACCGCAAAAUCGAUUGCUUGACUCAAGGUUUGAGGAUCAGGUAAGUUGAGCAUCAAUUUCUUUACUUCGUAUUGCAAUCCAUAAAGAAAUUGACUGAUGAGUGCAGCAUCAUCCCACUUGAUGUCAAUUGCAAGUUGUCGAAAUUGUGAAGCAUAUACUGUUACUGAGCGAUUUUCUUGUCGCAGAAUUCGGAUCUUAUUUGUUGCAACACGAGUUGCAUCGUGUUCACCAUACAUAGGUCGAAAAUCCGCCAAAAAAGCUUCCAAAUUGUCCAAUAUUGGAUUUUGUUGUUCAAGAAAAGACGAAAACCACGAUAAUGCAGAACCAGAAAGUAGAGUGCCAAUAAACCUGACUUGUGAUCCUGGAGUUGGAUAGCUUUGCGGUUGAAGUUCAAUUGCCAAUUGUACUUGAUUGAUGAACCCUCGAAACUUUGAUCUCGUACCAUCAAAUUUCUCAGGUAAGGCAAUUCUUGGUUCUCUAGUGCUUAUAGGGUGUUGUACAAUUGGAGAAGGAACGUGAUUUGUUGUAGAUGUUGAAGCAGCUCCGAUCAUCUCUAUAUCUCCACUUUCUGCUAUUCUUGUUCUUUCCUGUGUUGGUGAAUUGAGUUGAUGCAUCGCAAGCAUUAACUCCCUCAUUUGCUCUUGCAUUUGUGCCAUUGCACUCUUCAUUUCAACAAGCUCUGCCAUAAUGACACUAAGAAGAAAAAUUUGUUUGAUAUUGCUCAAGACAAAAGAAAAGAAAGACUUGAUAACAAAGAAGAUACUAAAAACAAUAUCAGUUUAGAAGUGGGUAAUCCGCAAACUUCUAAUACGCUUAUGUCUUGUCAAGAGAAAGGAGUAAUCCACUCUUACUCAAGAAAAAACAAAGCUCUGAUAUUGUAAGUGUACUCUUGUCAAUCUGUCAACGACAAAGACUCGAUGAGGGAAAAUAUACACCAAAAGGCUAUUUCGAUAUAAUAAGUCAAAAUAUAAAUAAGUAGGUAUAUUAAAAGGAAACUGGAAUGGCUAUUGCCACAAGACAAGAAAUUAAAGACUCUUGAAGCUGGACUAGAAGCAAGAAAGGAGUUGACAAGAGUGAAGAAGCCUUCACUCUUGUCUCUAUAUAUACUAUCUAACUAGGGGCUACGUGGCGACGUUCUAUAGGACCUCCAAUAUGUGUUGACUUUGUAGGACACAUGCCUUGACUUACAAGGCAAGUUUUCCUACGUGUGGGCCACAUAGUUAGCUUGAUCUUCAAGCUAACAACAUGUGUGGCACAUGGCCAACUUGUUGACCACGUUUCUAAUCCAAAAAGUCAAUUAAAGACACCUAUGAAGUCAAAGCAGCGUCUAGGAAGUUUCUAGGAAGCUUUUAUAUUAAAUAUUAUACAAUUAACUUACUUUUAUCUACUUUUACUUACUUCUACCUAUUUCUAUAUGUAAUUAUUAGCUUAUAUGAUUAUGGCCGUGACACCAUGUCAUCUCUGUUGAAUUUAGAAGAUUUGUAUUUCUUUUGAUAAGUAACAAACAUUUUUUUUGGCUAUGUCUGAUUUUGGUGAUAGCAUAGUGGUGUAAUUUAUCUAUUCUUUUGAGAUCUAUUACACAAAUUUGAAGUACUUUAAUAGCCAAGGCUUUCAAAAGUAUAAAUUUAUCAAAUAUAUGCAUAAUAUAUUCUAUGUCACAAAUAUAUACAUUAACCUAGAUAAGAAGUGUUAGUUAGAAAAUAAAUAUAGGUAGAUUUGAUAUUAUCUUGUGGUUCAGCUUUUUAGAAGCUUCAUAGAUGCAUAUUUGACUUAAUACAUGUUUAUAGUUAUUUGAUAGGUUAGAAACUUGGCCAAUAAGUUACUUAUGUGUUGUAUUUAUGCAUAACUUGUGGUACAAGCUAAUGUCAUAGAUAUAUAUCUAUUGUAAUUGUUACUUAAGUAAUAUGAAUUAGUAGAAGUAGAUAAAAAUAUAUUAAUUCUAUAAUAACUUUUGAAAAAGCUUCCUAGAAGCUUUUUAGAUGCCAUUUUGACUUUAUAUAUAUUUGUAGCUGAUUGAUAGGUUAAAAACUUAGUGUCACGAACAUAUAUAUUUACCUCAAUAGUUACUUAUAUGAUUAAGUAGAAGUAGAUAAAAUAGAAUAAUUUCAUAAAGUCUUCUAGAGAAGCUUCCUAGAAGCUUCAUAAAUACAGUUUUGACUUUAGAUGUAUUCGUAGGUUAGAAACUUGGCCAAAAAGCUAACCAUAUAUUGGUAGCUUAUGGAACAAGUUACCUCACUAUAAUAGCUUGUGGAAUAAGCCAACUACGUGGCGCAUACAUAGAUAACUUGUCUUGCAAGAUAAGACAUUUGGCUAACAAAGUCAACACAUGUUGGAGGUCUUAUAGGACAUCGCUGUCGUAUUACGUGCUUUCCUGCUUGAGAACGCACUAGGCGUUUGGCUGUAGGAGGUAGUAUGGAAAUUCGUUAAUAUUCAAGUAGUCUAUCGGUUUUUGACCGUUGGAAUAUAAACGAUUAUAAAAAUAUACCAUAAAUCUAUACGGAUGUCCUUCGACUGCUCACCGAAAUCCUUUUUGCCUCAGCCGGUAGGUCUCUAGACAUUACAGAGAACCCCAAACAACCCAAUCUCCUAAUCUCUGACACCGCUUUAUACUCACGACCUUGUAUCCACUGACUAUCUUGUUAGAUUAACCCAAAAAUUUUCAUUCAUUCCGCAUACUCAAUCCUAUAGACACCCUUUUAAUUCUUCAAUCACAGACGUAACUUCGAUUUCACAAAACAGUCAAGAGUAAUCACACCCACUUCAUUAAAACCCCGAUUCAUUAGUACAAUACAUCGACUAUUCAGCAUUGAUCGCCAGAAGUCCCUUUUCUGACCCUUACCCAAAAACCUUGUAUCCUCUUUUUUUCUUAACCUCCCUCCCCUUUAACCCUAAUUCUUCCCUCUUUCAAACCCUAGCCUCUGAAUUUCUUCAAUCUUCCAUCUUGGAUCCAAAAUUGGCUCCUGCCGUUAGAGCUUUCUCCUCCAUUUUUACCUUUAAGAGAUCUUUUUACCAAAAGGACGUUCCCAAAAUGGCACAAAGGACGGAAUAGCCUGAAACGAAAUCGGAGCCCCAUAAUCGGGACCACAUUGAGUCGCCCGACCAAUUCAAGUCUCAUAUUGAUUAAGAAGCCCGUAGUAAGACUUGGAUGUUCCCAUAAUUGGACCGCAUUGGAUUGCCCGACCAAGUCAGGUCUCAUAUUGAGUAAGAGGACCCGGAUUGGAUGUCUUGAAAUUGGAUCCAAUUGGCUCUUCGAACCAGGCUCACCCGUCAUUGAAUUGGUCUUUUCCCUUUCUGCUGACUCUCAUUAUUGGAAUCAAACGGAGCAUUUCAGUAUGCCCCGGUUGACUGUAUCGGGGUGAUUGACCCUGGCCUCUCAGUAUUUGCACUGGAAUUGGUCAUUGCUCCCAAUAUUCGAGGUAAUUGAAUAUGAAUAAAAGUCCCCUUUCUUUAUAUUUUCAUAAUAUAGUCGUAUUACAACACGACAUCCACCCCCUCUGAACUUGUGCAUCUUUCGGUAUGCACCAAUUUACCCAAUUGCUGUUUGAUUUAUAAUAUAUUCUCUACAUCUUUAUCCAGUUCGUCUUUGUCACCUUCAUUAUCCAAAUCACUUUCAUCUUCUUGCUGCGGAAUCUCUAUACCUUUAUUAAGGUCUUCAAUAUUCAUCUCUGCACGUCUUCGUUUAAAUAUUUUUACUCGCUUCCCUGCAAUUGAUAUUUUCAAUUUUAUACCAUCUAACUCCUGUAAUGAGUAAGUCACAUUAUCAUGAACAGUUGUUACUACAUAUGGUCCAAACCAACGUUUUGAAAAUUUCCACAUAGUACUAUGUUGGUUAUCCAGACUAUUAUCAUAAACAAGUAUCCAAUCACCUUCUUCGAUUGCUUUAGGUCUCAAUCAAUGUUGCUUAUCGAAUCGCGCCUUGUUUUGUAACCUUGCUCUUUUUAACCUUUUCAAUGCUAUCUGCACAUCUUCCAAUCUUUGCUCCAAUUGUCGAAUCCUAAUAGCCAGAAGUUCUUUUCUUGUCAAUCCAUCUUCCCAUGGUAGCAUACUCCAAGUAAGUACCUUUUCUUCAAUCAGCAUAAUUGGUUUUUGACCUCUCAUAAGUUCUACUGGCAUAUAUCAUGUCACCGAGCUAUGUGUUGUUCGAUCGGCCCGUAAUGCAAAUGACAAAAGCCGUGGCCACUCUUUAACUUUCCUAUUACAAGCUUUAACUAAUGCUUUUACAAUCGGUGGGUGACCACGUUCGCUUUUUGCAUUCCCUUCCGGAUUAUAAGCUGUAGUCAGUGAUAGUUUAACUCCACAUCUUUCAAAGAACUUACGAGCUUCUUGUGCAUUUAAUUCUCCACGAUCUGCAGUGAUUUUUCCUACGCAUCUAUAGUGGCAAAUGACAUCUUCAAGCAAAAACCUACAAAUCCCCUCUGUAGAUUUUGUCCUCAAUGCUCUUCCUUCUACUUGAUUUGAUAAAUCUUCACGAGCUAAGACCAAAUAUUUCAUCUGCCAUAACCCAACUGGCAUAAUAGCCAAAUCAACAAUCCAUUUAAAAUGAAUAGCGAGAGAAUACGUAGGAUGAAGGCCAUCUCGAUGUCGGAUAUUAGAAUACGAAUGACACAUUUCAUAUGAUUCUACAAAUGAGAGCACCUCUUGAUACAUAUUUUUCCACCAAUAUCGUUCCUUGAGUUUAGCAAAAGUAGCCCAGAUUCCUCUAUGCCCUGCCCAUAAACUACCAUGAAACUCCUUUAAUAAUUUUAGUUUUUCUUUCUUUUUGCCUAUCACUCAUCGUGGCAUCCCAAUUCCUUUCUUCGGUCUCUUCCAUAAGAAUCCAUCUCGAAGCAAAAAUCCAUAUGCUUUUUUUCUUAUUUGUUUGAAUUUUUCUGUAAACCAAUUCCCCUACUUACUCAAGGUAUUCAAGUAAUGAUCAAUAUCCAAUAAAUCUCCUUCAUAAGAUUCUUCAAUAAAUAGCUUGUCCUCCCUAUUGAGAUUUGAUAUUGAAUAGAAUUCAAUCCGACGUCAUCAAUGUCUUCAACCAUUUCGUCCUCCCUCUCGUAUCUUACUCGAGAUAGUAUGUCUGCUACUAAAUUGUCCUUCCCAGUAACAUGCUUAAAUUUUGGAUUUAGUGACUUAAUAUAAGCAAUCCAUCUCAACAUUGCAAUAUCUGGCGUUGAACAGUUAGUAAUCAUUCCAAGCAAUGGCAAGCAAUCUGUUUCAAUUACUACUACUGCCCCAAUCAAAUAGUCCUUUUCAGCUUUCAUAGCUAAAACAACUCCCCAAAGUUCUCUUUUGACUUGCGAAUAUGCAUGCUGACGAAUACUUAAAACUUUAGCUCCAAAUCAAACUGCAAAUCUAUUCUCACUUGAAUCAUCUUCACCCAUAGCCCAUCCAAUGGCAAUUGGACUAGCGUCCACAGUAAGAAUCACUGGUCUAUUGUACUUAUAAUCAACCUUCCUCAAUAUUGGAGGUGACAUCAAUAAUUUCUCCAAUAUUUGCAUUGCCUGAAUAUGCCUUUCUUCCCAUUUAAAUCGGUAACCCUUGCAUAAUAAUUCAUAUAAUGGAUCUGCUAUUUGAGCAUAAUGAGGGAUCCAGAUUCGAUAAAAUAUACAUGCACCUAAAAACCUGCCAACCUCUGUUAAAGAAUCAUAAUCCUCUUUCAUCCUUCCAAUUGCAUCAACUUUAGUCGGAUCUGGUUUUCUCCCGUAAAAUCCACAUAAAUGUCCAACAAUCACAACCUCUCGUACUCCAAAUACGGACUUCAUACCCGAUAAUGUAAGAUAAAUUCUCUAAGCCGAAUUAAAAUCUUUUCACAAUCUUGUAUAUGAUCAACAACAUAUUUGCGACACCCCCUCGUAUCUAAAGUUUCAUCCUUGUCUCCUUCUCUGCACCCUUUUAUAGGAACAUCAUCCAAAAAAGGCAUAGUCUUUUCCGGAAUAAAAUCUCUCAAUACCUUAUUCAUCCCAUUCAUCAUAUGUGCAAUUGAGUUGGUCGCGCCUUGAGGAAGAGUGCACAUUCUAACCAAUCUAAGUGGUGUCCUCAUCGUCGUCAUAUCUCUACUUCCUUUGGCAAGUUGAAAUUGAUCAUAACCAGAAUACAAGUCAUCCAUUGAAUAGAUUGCUCUUCCUGCAAAUGCCUCAGCAAAUUCAUCCACAAUAGGUCCAAUUCGUGCAUUCUUAAUAGUUACUGCAUUCACCGGUUGCAUAUCUUGAAUAAACCGUAGUGACCCAUUCUUCUUAGGUACCGUAAACCAUCGACUAGAAUACGGCGCAAAUGAGGGUUCCAAUAUUUUCAUCUUUAUCUUUUCUUUUAAUAGUUCCAUCAAUUUAGGUAAAUGUGCCCUCGGUACUGGAAUCGGUCUUAGAUUCUAAGGUACAUGCAGUAUAGUGAAGAUAACCAUAGGUGUUAUAAUAUUUGGAUCCACACACCCAAUUUCAUGAGAUUCAAAGGCAAACAAUCUACCUUGUUUAGCCAACAUCUUUUUGAAACAAGUAAUUUCCUCCGACAAUAAAGAACCAUAAGAACCAAUCUUCAAUUCUUCAAAAGUCUUUUUAGUGAACUGAUGUCCAAUACUCAUUGGAUCUCUUAAACUUGCUUCUUUUGAUGCUUCUCCCAUUUGUUCUUUAGAAUCUUCUGGUAAUGGUCCGGCAACAGGCUUUACCUUCUUAUCUGCCGUUUUAUAUCUCGUCUCUAUAGUGACUUCUGGUACUUGAAAAGAUUCAAGUAUGGUAUAAACCUCUCUUGAAUGAAUCUCAACAAUCUUAUCAUUAUUCCCUAACCCAAUAGAUGUAAUCAAUUCCAAUGAAUCUUCCAGUUCAUUUUCUUCAUAAACACCUAAAAUCCUUUCAUCAUCUUGCAAUGUACCUAACUUGCGUAAUUCUCCUUCAAUAUUAUAUAAUCUUUUUCUUUCUUUUCUUUUAAAAUCAUCAACUUUUUUAUACAUAAUAUUUCCAUUCUCCAAUAUACCAAUAAAACUUGCAUCAAAGGCACCUUCAUCUCAUGAGAGUAUUUCCUCUUUUGUACCUCCAUAAUCUCGCUUUAUAGUGGUACGUUUCCAAAAUCCUUAAAUCCUUCAACAAUCUUUGGCAAUGGUUUCUCCCUCAACCUAUCUCGAUUCCAUUCAUGGUUACGAGAUACUGUUAGAAAUUGUACAGCUUUCCUCCCAUCUUCGCUCCGUCUCCUUGCAUAAAAAGAACCAUCGUCAAGUAAUUUUGUUUCCAUCCGUGUUGCCGUGAUAUAAGGUUGUCCUAAAAUCAACGGAUAAGACGUUGUAUCUUGAACAAAGAAAUGUUGCUCCGUUGCAACAUCCCCAAUCCGAAUUUUGACAUCUGGACAAGCUCCAUAUAAUUCGCCCCGUGUGUUAAUAGCUGCUCGUAUUGCCCAUCCAUAUUCCAUAUCAAUUGGCCAUUUUUGCUUCUUAUAAAGAUCUUUAGACAUGAGAUUUAUUUCAGAACCAUGGUCGACUAAAGCAACAAUUGGUUCUUCUAUAUCUCCUACUUUCACCAAUACCUCAAUAGUUGCCCUUGCCCAAUGCUUUCAAGUAUAAUGGCUCAAAGUUUCCAUUUCCUUAUCACUAUAAUCUUUGAAACGUACUCGUUGAUUAUAUCCAUUCUUUUCAUUUGUUGGUUGCUUGUAACCAAUAUAAACCUCUUCUUCAUCUUUAUAUAUUCUUGCAUCAAUAGCAUGAUUCAUUCCGGUUUCACCUAUGAAUUGCCUCUUUCGUUUAAUGCUGUCAAUGAUAACAUCAUGAAACUCCUUCUUUGCAAUUCCCAAGACUUCUUUCAAUGUGAAUUUCACCUUAGCGUUUAAUAUACGUUCUUCCAACACCCCUUUCAAAUUUGUUGCCACUUCAAUGUCAGAAAGUAGUUUAUAAGCAAUUGAUUUGCCUUUAUCUUUUGUCUCCUUUGUUUUUUCUCCCAAUGAUGUUGAGGUAUCCUUUACAGACAAUUCUUGUGAAGCUGCCUCCCGAGCCUUGUCUCCUCGAGUUUGCCUCUUAGAAGAAUUUCCUUCUUUAGUAUCAUCAAAAUUUCCUCGUCUCUUUUCUUCCAUCAAAGGUUCAUGUUGGCUCUUAGCAAUAUAUGCAUGAACUGAAAGAGACUCAACAAGAUCCUCCCAACCUGUUGCACCUUGUAUUGUAGCUGCAGUCCUCAAUAAUGCUUCUCGAGGUAAUUUCCCUUCUUACAUUGUAGAAACGGUAGAAGGCCAAAACUCACUAAUUUUUGUUCUUCCACCAAGGUCAUCAUCUAAACCUGGUCUUGCCAAUUUGAUUUGAAGAUCUCGCAUUCCUCGUAUAAUUUCUUCCAUCCCCAUAUGUGCUUUCUUUGAUAAGGAUGUCAAAGGUUGAACUGUAGGCAUUGUUAGUGGUAUUGUACGUACAGGAGCUUUGGGUGCUUGUACUGUUUUUGGAAUAUUGCUCUUAUCCUUCCUCCUUUCUCUUUUUGCAAGCAACCCUACCGCAUCUUCAACGUUCUUCUACUUUGUUGUCAAUCCUUCAUCUUCUUCUUUGUGUUGAAGAAGGAGAUCUAAUUUCCCUUGCAAUUCUCCUUCAGCAGCUUGAAGAAAUAGAUCAACUUUGUUCGGCUCCAAUGUCAAUUUUUCUACCUUCGAUAAUUGACAGUACUGCCUCUCAAAUUUCCUUAGUAGCUUUGUUGCUUGUAAAUUCUUAUUCCAGAAACAGCUUCUUAGUAAUGCGAUCAGCAUCUUCCAAGAAAUAUUCGUCUUUCAAUGCAUGUGAAAAAACCUCCCAUGAAUUCUCAUAACGAUCCGUAAUCAAUGAUAUAUGGUCUCUUAUCUCCGGUAUCAUGGCAAGUCCAAAUAAUUCAACCAUUUUCUUCUCUGAAACUCGAUUUAAUUCCAUUUCACGAAUAUAAUAUCUUAAAUACCUUGAAAUAUUCUUUCCAUCAAAUUGAUCAAUUUUAUUGACCACUGCUUGCAAUGCUUUGGUUGCCAAAGCUUCCUUUCGAUGAUUGCUUUGCUGUUGCUGCAUUGAUAAUGAGAAGGCUUGAAACAUACUAGUAAUAGAUGGAUCCAUAUGCAUACCUUGUUCUUUAGAAGAAUCCCCACCAGAAACUCCUCGCAAAGAUCCUUCAAAAUUUUUAUUUUUAUUUUUCAUAGAAUAAAAAUAAAAUCAAAUGAAAUCCAAUACCUCUCACCUCAAGCUUUCAUUUGGGUUCACCACUUGUGUUAUAUUACGUAUUUUCUUGCUUGAGAAUGCAUCGGGCGUUUGGCUGUAAGAGGUAGUAUAGAGAUUCGCUAAUAUUCAUGCAUUCUAUCAGUUUUUGACUGUUGGAAUAUAAAAGAUUGCAAGAAUAUAUCGUAAAUCUAUACGGAUGUCCUUUGACUGCUCGCCAAAAUCCUUUUUGGCUCAGCCGAUAGGUCUCUAGACAUUACAGAGAACCCCAAACAACCCAAUCUGCUAAUCUCCUAUAUCGCUUUAUACUCACGACCUUGUAUCUACUGACUGUCUUGUUAGAUUAAUCCAAAAAUUUUCAUUCACUCCGCAUACUCAAUCCUAUAGACAUCCUAUUAAUUCUUCAAUCACAGACGUAACUUCGAUUUCACAAAACAAUCAAGAGUAAUCACACCCACUUCAUUAAAACCCCGAUUCACUAGUACAACACAUCGACUAUUCAGCAUUGAUCGCCAGAAGUCCCUUUUUUGACCCUUACCUAGAAACCUUGUAUCCUCCCUUUUUCUUAACCUCCCUCUCUUUUAAUCCUAAUUCUCCCCUCUUUCAAACCCUAGCCUCUGAAUUUCUUCAAUCUUCCAUCUUGGAUCUAAAAUUCGCUCCUGCCAUCAGAGCUUUCUCCUUCGUUUUUACCUUUAAGAGAUCUUUUUAUCGAAAGGACGUUCCCAGAAUGACAAAAAGGAUGGAACAUCCUGAAACAGAAUUGGAGCCCCGUAAUCGGGACCACAUUGAGUCGUCUGAUCAAUUCAGGUCUCAUAUUGGUUAAGAGGCCCGUAGUAAGACCUGGAUGUUCCCGUAAUCGGACCACAUUGGGUUGCCCGACCAAGUCAGGUCUCAUAUUGAGUAAGAGGACCCGGAUUGGAUGUCUUGAAAUUGGAUCCAAUUGGCUCUUCAAAUCAGGAUCACCCGUCGUUGAAUUGGUUCUUUUUCUUUCUGCUGAUUCUCGUUAUUGGAAUCGAACGGUGCAUUUUAGUAUAUCCCGGUUGACUGUAUCGGGGUAACUGACCUUGGCCUCUCAGUAUUUGCAUUGGAAUCGUCGUUGCUUUUAAUAUUCACGGUAAUUGAAUAUUAAUAAAAGUCCCAUUUCUUUAUAUUUUCACGGUAUACUCGUGUUACAACACGACAUCGCCACAUGGCUCUUAGUUAGAUAGUAUAUAUAGAGGCAAGAGUGAAGCCUUCUUCUUUCUUGUCAACGCCUUUCUAGUCUUAGUCUUGUUUCAAGACUUUCUAAUCUUCUUGUUUUUAGUAAUAGCCAUUCUAGUUAAUAUUACAUCACCUUUUGAGUAACUUUCUAGUUCUCUUCAGUGAUAGAAGAGUGUAUUGAGGAUUCCUUUUCUUUGAGAUUCAUGUCUUUGACAUUGAAUGUAUUGAAGAUGCCCUUUCUUUGAGAUUCAUGUCUUUGACAAUUUGACAAGAGUGCUAACAUAUUAUUUCUGUCUUGUUCUACAAGUGAGUAGAUUAUCCCACUUCUAUUAUUGUAUUUUGAAGGUUGCAGAUUAUCCACCUUUAAACAGAAAAUCUUGUUUUCUAAUACUGAUCUUUUCCUUGAAGAGAGUAGAUUACCCCUCUUUGUGGGAUUUAUUUUUAGAAGUUGCAGUUUAUCCUCCUCUAAUUUAACUUUUGAAUUCAUUUGAGUUGUCUAUAGAAUGAGAGAUUAUGGAUGCUACUCUCAAUAGAAGCGAGAAUAGAUUUCCAACUAUAGUAGAUUUUCAUGAGCUUGUCAAUACUUUAAGAGUAAAAAUCUAUAUUUUCGACGUGAAUCAUGGAAGUACUAUGCCUAUGCCUAUGGAAAAAGUUCACAGUCUUCGAUAAGAAGUUGUGUAGUUGAAAGAAGCCAGUACAUCUACAUUACAACCAAAUCUAGGGAGUUUUGCUUCUACAAGUAUGACAUGGAUAAGGAUUAAUAUGCCUGAGAAGUUUGAUAGAACAAGAUCAAAAUUUUGAGGAUUUUUGCAAUAAGUCAAGCUCUAUCUAAGGUUGCACCCUUUCCAAUAUCCUGAUGGAUUUAUCCAAGUCGGAUUUAUAGGCAUACUACUCUCUUUUAGUUUACAUCUUUAAUGAAAAAAGAUUCACGACUCUUUUAUGAUUUGAAUUCAUUUCUAGAAGUGUUUACGGCUAUAUUUGGAGAAAGUGAUCGAAAAUGAGUAGCAGAGACCAAACUUCUAUCCUUACGGUAAGGAUCACGAUCAGCCACUACAUAUGCUGCCGAAUUCCAAAAUCUUGCUUGCGACGUGGAUUGGAAUGACAAAGCACUUAUCAACCAAUUUUGAUAUGGAUUGAAGGAUAGCGUCAAAGAUUUGUUAUUAACUAUGCCGAAAGUAGAAUCUUUGAAAUAAUUUAUUACUCUAACCAUUGCAUAUGACAAUCAUUUAUUUGAAAGGCAUCAAGAACAAAGAUUUAGUUGGAGAAGAAUAAGUCAAGUAAUGGCGGCAGCUCUCAAGUUUUUUGAAACUUAUUUGUCAAAGCUAGAACCAAUGCAAAUUGAUAUGAUACAUUUUAAACCUCUCACGAAGUAGGAGAAGAUUCAACGUCGCUAAAAGGGAUUGUGUUUAUAUUGUAAAGAAGCAAAGCACACUGCUCAAUAUUAUCCAAAGAAGCAACACAAUUACAAAAUGAGAAGCACAAUUACCAAAGUAGAUAAUGUGUCGGAAAACAAAUUUUUCCAGUUACAAUAGGGAUCGUUGUUGUAAUAUGUGAAGUCUUGCUUGAGAAUGCUCUGGGCACUUGUUUGUGGAAGGAAGAAUAGAAAUUGUAAUAAAAAAAUCUUAAUUCUAAUAGAAUACUAAAAAUUCUCUAAUUAGAAUAUAAUAAUGCUAAGCAAACUUAAUCAAAUUCAAAAAAAACUUCAAAGAAAUUUAAAACCAACAAUAAGAAUUCUUAAAGAAAUAUUAGAAUGAUCACAAAUAUCACUCAAAUACAUCUCAAUUCAAUCUUUAUUUAAUUCUAGUCAAAAUCCUAUUGAACUUCAUUCAAACUUUAGGCCAAAACUAAUUAAAUCUUAAACCCUAAUAAAAUCCUAAAUCCUAAAUCAAACCCUAAACAAACCUUAAACCAAACCCUAACCAAAUCCUAAACCAAAUUAUAACCAAAUCCUAAAUCAAAUCUUAAAUCCAAAAUCAAAUCCUAAUCCCAAUUCUAAACCCUAAAUAAAAUCCUAACCCUAAACCAAAUUCUAAUCCAAAUCCUAAACCCUAACCCUAAACCAAACUCUAAUUCAAAUCCUAAACCCUAAUCCUAAAUCAAACCCUAAUAUAAAUCCUAAAUCCUAAUCUUCAACCAAAUUCUAAAUUCUAAACCCAAAAUCAAACCCUAAUCUAAAUCCUAAUCAAACCUUAAACCAAAUCCUAACCAAAUC
rnacentral:lncRNA from 1 species